GCGGGGAUAGCUCAGUUGGGAGAGCGUCAGACUGAAGAUCUGAAGGUCGCGUAUUUUGUAAAAAAAAAUUUUUAAAUCCAUUUCUUCAUA
rnacentral:tRNA from 1 species